rnacentral:lncRNA from 1 species
GGACGAUUCCAAGGAUCACUGUUGUUGCUAAUUUUUUUUCUUUUAAAAAAUACAGAUAUUUUUAAUAAAAGUAUGUUAAUUAUGUUAACCUGUAAUGGGCUUAUUAUUUCAAAAUCAAUUAACAAUGUAAAUAUUUAAAACUUCUGUGUUAAAAUUUCUAAUAGUAUAAAUAGCAGUAGAUUUAGCCCACUCUAAGGGAGAUGGUUGUGCUUUAGUCAGGAGUAGGCCGAGGCAGCCUUCUGGUGCAGCAUGACUCAGUGGGUUUGGAGGCAGGCACACAACUCCACACAUUAUGUAACCAUGCCAUGUGAGGUGCAUUAGGUGACCACUCAUAUGAGCACGUGCUUGGCUCAAAGCCACUAUUGUCUGUAAAAGGUAAAAUUACCCUGCUGACACUACAUAUGGCUUGCACCCAGAGAGAGAAUAAAGCCAUGUCGAAACCGCCUACUCGAGUGUUUUUCCAGUUACCUGCCACCCACCCACCAACUCCCCUUGGACUUUAGUUUGGGCUAGAACCUGACAAUUGGCAUCACGAACAGGAUCCUAAGGUAAGUGAGCCUUCGGUCCCUGCUGAUUCCAGGUUGGCCAUGUGACCACAACAUGGGUUGUGGUACCCGGUGGUAGCCGUGCUGUGAGGGUGGGCCUGAGUGGAAACCUGGGUGGCAGUAGAUGGGUCCCCCAUGAGCAUGGAGAAGGCGCUGAAGCAGCUGGAAGUGCAGAGCACCAAGAAGGAGAGAGCCUUUGCUGGCAGAGUUGGAUGGGCAUUUUUAACUGUGCUAAGAAAAGUACACACCCAGUCCCUGAGGGAUGCAGACUGGAGGUCUGGCUACACCGAUCUGGAAAAUAAUUAGAGGCUGCCAUGAAUGGGGACCUCCAGGUGCAGGCAGGAUGCCUGGAGGUGUGGCUUCAGAGCUUGGAAAAGGAAUUAGAGGCUACCAUGAAUGCAGGCCUGGGUCCAUCAUCUUGUCUGGAGAUCCCCACUCAGUUUCAUACCAAGGAGGAAGAACCCCUGUUGCGGGCUCACCCGGUGGUCUGACAGAAGGUAGAUCAUGAACAGCCACUGGGGCUCCAAGGGUGGACUCAGGGACUCCCCACCAUAAUGCAACACAUUUCGUAUAUUGCCUGUACCCCAACUGAGUUGCAGGAAUUAGGCAAGCAGUGUUGCCAGUGUCCAGGGGAACCCCUGCCUGCCUGGAUGCUUCGUCUGUGGAACAAGGGAGCAGAUGGUAUCUCCCAUUCCACCUCUGAGAUGGACAAGCUGGCCUCCACCAUGACUCACCCCUCUCUCUGUCAGCGGCUGCAAGUGAGCAGGUGGUUAGUGGCAGCGCAAGGAGACCACACCCUGACUGAGUGGCUACAGGCAGCCAUAUGAACUGUGUGGAAUAAUGCUGGUGAAAUGCCCAAAACUGUGAGUAAAUGGCAGUCAUAUGCCAAUUUGGUGUAAGUCAUUCGGGAGAUGGGUAUGCGGCAGGCUAUGUUUGUCCUGAAUACCUGAGGGCCAGAUGAUAAAUGUUUCACCUCCCACAUGAGGGAUCUCAUGUUGGGUUUGAUGCUCCUGAGCCCCUUUGGCUCCCUAGCUGCUGUCCUCACCCCAUACGUAGGGCACCGCAUACAUGAAGUAACCACUGCCAUGGCGGCUCUCAGGGAAGCAGAAGGCCUUCAGGGGGAUUGGAGGGUCCACACCAUAAAGAAGGGGAAGUUACCCCACCCACAGGGGGCUCCCCCAUAAAAAAAGGGGGCCCCAACGAGUGACACGCUCACAGAUGUGGAUAGAUUUGAUUUUGGCUGGGGUUGACUGAGAGAAAAUUGAUAAGCAGCCCAAUGAAAUACUCCUAACUUUGCGGAGACAGUUGUAUGCAGGGCAGCAAUUCCGGAAAAUGCCCAAAGGGGAGAAAGGCAUUGCUGUGUGACCUGGUCCUACCCAGCUCAGAGACUACUUGCUGCAGCCAGGUGGAAAUGUAGAGCCUUUUCUGUUCAACUAGGGAACUGGCCAAAGGUGUCUGGCUUGGGGGGACACCAGAUGACCAGAGGCCACAUGUGGAAUUGGCAAUCCACUGGUCCCCCACCAAUGUACAGUGGGUGCUGGUGCUGGUAGAUACUGGCAUAGAUUGUAGCCUUGUUUAUGGGAACCCAGUUAAGUUUUUGGGCAAAUCUGCAUAUAUUAAAGGUUACGGAGGCCAGUCAGUGAAAGUGAAACCUGUAUCUCUGUACCUUGGCAUUGGCCACUUGGCUCCUUGCUUAUACACUGUGUAUGUCUCUCCCAUACCUGAAUACAUUCUGGAGGUGGAUAUUUUACAUGGCUUGGAAGCUGUGCCAUCUAUCAUGGAUUUGAUGAACCACUCGACAAUGGAAUUAGGACAGUACCACUAUGUGGUGGACUUGGCCAAUGCAUUCUUCUCAGUUGACCUUGCUCUAGAGAGCCAGGAACAGUUUGCCUUGAUGACAAUGGACUUUCACAGUGUUGCUGCAGGGCUAUGUGCAUAGCUCCACCAUAUGUCAUGGUCUUGUUGCCAUGGAUUUAACAGCCUGAAAAUGUCCAAAGGGAGUCCACUUGUUCCAUUACGUUGAUGAUAUUAUGUUAACCUCUGAUUCUCUUGCAGAUUUAGAAGCAGUGGCACCCCUCUUGUGGCAACAUUUGGCAGCAUGCAGUUGGGCCAUCAACAAAUCCAAGGGCUGAAGUUCCAGGCUGGACCUGAUGCUCCAAACCUUGAAUGAAUGGCCAUGGAAAAGCAGCCCAGCCCAGGUGGAGGCUUUGUUACAUGGGCCACCACCCCUAUUCAGUUGCAGAUACACACCAAGGGUAACCGCCUCUGACCAGGUUAACAUGCUCCAACUGCAUUGUGGACUGGGCCCACACCUACACUGAAGUGACCAAUGUUUCCAACUGUUGGAUCUGCACCGCCCUUCUAGCAGCUGCAGAUGGCUUGCCUUAGCACAUACAUUCAGCAUCUGCAGAGAACCAGACAUGGCUGGAGACUUGGGGUCCCAUGGCUGAUGCCUGGAACGCAACGUGGCAAGUUUUGGACAAAGGAUGCCACAAGACCCACAGCACAGCCAUUCCCUGGCUGGCCCAUAGCAUUUAUGAUGGGUGGGGCUGGCUAGUGAGGUAACGUGCAGUACCCCUGGCCCAGGCACUGUGGUGCAUAUAGCAACACUGGGGUAAUAGCACUGUGGGAUGGGUACCCGUCACAGUGUGUGUAAGCAUAAUACAUGUCACCACACCAAAGGUAUGGUGGAAGACGCGGCCCCACCAAGGGGCCUCGAUGGACUGUGUGCCCCCUGGGAGUUUAUGGGUCUGUGGGGACACAGGGUGGCCUUACCUAUAAGCAAACUGGACUGGACAUUAUACCUGAGGGUGGCCUCAUGUACCUGCCACUGUUCUCACAUUGCCCAGAUGCCUGCAUAACUGGGAGGUGCUACACUCUCGGUUUUUGCAAGUGUAAUGAGCACCCUGGUGGUUUUACCCCUUGACAGGCACUAGCCCUGGAGUGUGUGUCACAACUGUAGAAGCCAAGUUACUGCUCUUGCAGAGCAUGCUGCUCAGGCUCUGAAUUACACCUGAGUGGCCCUCUUCCCAUUAAUGGAUGAGGUUGAUCAGAUCAGAAAGGUGGUGUUGCGAAACCGAAUGGUCUUAGACAUAGUAACUGCUGCCUAAGGAGGCACCUGUGCCCUUUUAGGAACACAAUGUUGUACCUUUAUCCCUGACAAUUGGCAGAACAUAACAGCAGCCCUGCAAGGGGUCUCACAGGAGAUUAAGGUAGUCAAGAGCCUUACUGAUGACCCCCUGCAGAGAUGGUAGACAUCCCUGGGCUCUGGCCUACGCUGGGCCCUGAUAGUCAUAAGUAGCAUAGCUGGAAUCCUAGUCGUGAGCUGUUGCUCUCCGUAUUGUUGCUGUGGAUUAUGGAUUCAGGGCUCCACCCUACGGGCACAUGUCCCUACCUGGAGGAUGCCCCUGGCCUAGGGGUGGAGUGUAAGGAAGAUGGCUGCGCUUUAGUCAGGAGCAGGCUGAGGCCACUUUUUGGUGCACCAUGACUCAGUGGGUUUGGAGCGUAGGCACACGACUCCGCACAUUAUGAACCAUGCCACUUGAGGUGCAUUAGGUGACCACUCACGUGAGCUCGUGAUUGCUUCAGAGCCUCUAUUGUCUGUAAAAGGUAUAAUUACCCUGCUGACACUGGACAUAUGGCUCGUGCCCAGAGAGAGGAUAAGGCCAUGUUCAAACUGCCUAUGAUUCCUCGGGUGUUUUUUCAGCUACCCCUCACCCACCCACCAACUCCCUUCGGACUUCAGUUUGGGCUAGAACCUUACACCCACAUAAACUAAAGCUGUAUGGGGUCCUCAGUUUUCAAGCACAUAAAAGUAUUCUGUAUCCAAAAAGUUUGUGAACCACUGCCCUAGAGAAACUUUCCAUGGCGUGCAAGAUGUAUGUAAGAAUGCCCAGUAGAGACAUAAUAAGAAACCAGAAAAAGUGGAAAUCUCAAUGCCUGUCAUCAAGAGAGAUAAAUGCAGCGUGGUCUAUUUCUGUUCUCCUCACAUUGCCCAGAUGCCUGCUUAACUGGGAGGCGUUAUGUUCUCAGUUUUUGCAAGUGUCAUAAAGGAGUGAAUGGAGCAUUACCUGUCAUUAUAGACACUGCAAAAUGAGCUAGUAGCAGGAUUUUUACCACAGGUACCCAUAAGCAACAUGUGGCAUGGUUCACCAUGGUUUUACAUUGUUGUGUAAAUAACUUAAAAUUAUGUGAAUAAUGUAAAAGCAUGGUGAACAAUGCCAUGUUUUGCUUAUGGGUACCUGCGGUAAAAAGCAAAAAUCAUGACCCUGAAGGGGUGAGCAGGCCUACAGGUGCUGGGCAGGCACUGUCUUGCAAAGAGCACAAAAUGUGCAGGUCCCUCUGGGAGUGUUAUAGUGGGUAGCUAGUCAGAAAGAGCAGGGCAGGAGAGGGCUCCCCAUACCCCACACACCAGGAGUGUCAGGUGACCAUCAGGUGAUGGUCUGGCGGUUGUUGACUGUCUUUCUAAAGUAAUAAUUGGUCACACCCGGCAACAGGGAAAAGCCGGCUCCUAAUAGAUAGAAAACACUCGAAACUGGUGAGCAGUAGUUUCCCUAUAAGAUCUCAGGAGUUGAGCCAGUGGGCUCAGGCAGGCACAUGGGACAGCCCACCCCAAGGGAAGAACCAGGGGAGAAAUAACGCAAGACCCCGAAAGCAUGCUGACGUAUAAAACCCCAAGUCAAAAGGUCAAACCACGCACUUGCUUUUUAAGUCGUCCACUUGGCCCUCUUCCAAGUGUACUUUCCUUCCUUUUGUUCCUAUUCUAAAGCUUUUAAAUAAACUUUUACUCCUGUGCUAAAA